UUAUAUAUCAGUAUAAUGAUUGGGCGAUAUUUAUAAAGUUGUUAUGAACGUUAUUUCGUGAUAACUGUUACAAACUGUUAUAGUUAUUCUGUUAUCGCAGAAUGAUUCACAUAAAUAACCAGAUAACCUCAUCGUUGUUAUGAUAGAAGAUAUGAAUAAUGACUAAGUAUUUGAAAAAAUUGUAGGCAUAUGCAAGCCAGGUUCUCUGAUGUAAGCUGAAAUUCUGUUCUUAUCGAGUAAAUGGAAGGAAUAUUGAUACUCUUAUCAUUACAUUCAGUAUGAAGUAGUAUGGGCUACAUAUCAUGCGUUGGUAUAUGGUGAAAUGAUAGACAAUGAAGGAAUGGAAAGAUUUUAUACUAUAUGAACUAACAGGUAUAUUUACUCGAGGGGAGCAUUUAUUAUCAAUGGAAUGGAAAAGGAAGUAAAUAGAAUGGAUCAAUAUGUUAUAUAUUACUAAUAUUGUAAUUAAUGGAAUACAAAAUUGUUAAUAUAUUCUUGAAAUAAACACAUUUUAGACAUCA